UUGCAUUAGAAUUAGAAUCUAAAUACACUAAAAUCACUUCCUCUAAUAUAAUUAUAACAAUU
rnacentral:tRNA from 1 species